GAUGAACGCUAGCUACAGGCUUAACACAUGCAAGUCGAGGGGAAACGACAUCGAAAGCUUGCUUUUGAUGGGCGUCGACCGGCGCACGGGUGAGUAACGCGUAUCCAACCUGCCCAUCCCUUGGGGAUAACCUUGCGAAAGUAAGACUAAUACCCAAUGAUAUCUCUAGAAGACAUCUGAAAGAGAUUAAAGAUUUAUCGGUGAUGGAUGGGGAUGCGUCUGAUUAGCUUGUUGGCGGGGUAACGGCCCACCAAGGCGACGAUCAGUAGGGGUUCUGAGAGGAAGGUCCCCCACAUUGGAACUGAGACACGGUCCAAACUCCUACGGGAGGCAGCAGUGAGGAAUAUUGGUCAAUGGACGAGAGUCUGAACCAGCCAAGUAGCGUGCAGGAUGACGGCCCUAUGGGUUGUAAACUGCUUUUAUAAGGGAAUAAAGUGAGUCUCGUGAGACUUUUUGCAUGUACCUUAUGGAUAAGGACCGGCUAAUUCCGUGCCAGCCGCCGCGGUAA
rnacentral:rRNA from 1 species